AGAGUUUGAUCCUGGCUCAGAAUCAACGCUGGCGGCGUGCCUCAGACAUGCAAGUCGAACGCGAAAGGCUCCUUCGGGGGCCGAGUAGAGUGGCGUCCGGGUGAGUAACACGUGGGUAAUCUACCUUCGGGUGGGGAAUAACGUCUCGAAAGAGACGCUAAUACCGCAUAAUGCAGCGGCACCUAAUGGUGACAGUUGUUAAAGCGGGGGAUCCAAAAGACCUCGCGCCUGAAGAGGAGCCCGCGGCGGAUUAGCUAGUUGGCAGGGUAACGGCCUACCAAGGCAACGAUCCGUAGCCGGCCUGAGAGGGCGGUCGGCCACACUGGCACUGACACACGGGCCAGACUCCUACGGGAGGCAGCAGUCGGGAAUUUUGGGCAAUGGGCGAAAGCCUGACCCAGCAACGCCGCGUGAAGGAUGAAGCUUUUCGGAGUGUAAACUUCAUAAGAAUGGGACGAAUAAGUGCGGGCUAACAUCCUGCAUGAUGACGGUACCAUUUGUAAGCUCCGGCUAACUCCGUGCCAGCAGCCGCGGUAAUACGGGGGGAGCAAGCGUUGUUCGGAUUUACUGGGCGUAAAGGGCGCGUAGGCGGCGCAACAAGUCACUUGUGAAAUCUCCUGGCUCAACCAGGAGCGGUCAAGUGAUACUGUCGUGCUAGAGUGCGGAAGGGGCUACUGGAAUUCUCGGUGUAGCGGUGAAAUGCGUAGAUAUCGAGAGGAACACCUGCGGCGAAGCGGGUAGCUGGGCCGACACUGACGCUGAUGCGCGAAAGCCAGGGGAGCGAACGGGAUUAGAUACCCNNGUAGUCC
rnacentral:rRNA from 1 species